AGCCAAGAUGUUUGCAACAGCUGCCUUAAUGACACCGUAUCUGAGCUCAGGAAGCGUUGUCCCUUUGCAAAGGAGGUGAUCGGGUGGUCUGAAUUUUGUAUGCUGCGCUACACCAACCGAGACAUCCUCGGAGAAAUGGAAAUCUCUCCUGGCUCUUGUCUACUCUACCCAGUGAACGUAAAGAAUCCUAAUCAGUUCAAUCAGGCAUUGAGUGAUCUGUUGAAUAAUUUGAGCAGUCGAGCCGCAGCUGCAGGUCCUCUUCGCAAGUAUGCGGUAGAUAUCUAAAGGGUGGGCCCUUUUCAAACAGUAUAUGCUAUGGUACAGUGCACUCCUGAUUUGUCCGAGGAAGAAUGUGGCGAGUGUCUAACUGUGGCUGAGGAUGAGAUUGGAAGUUGCUGCUUGGGGACGAUGGGAUGCAGGGUUCUUAGACCAAGCUGUUUUUUGAGAUUUGAGUCUAACCCAUUUUUUCAGACUCCAGUUCCUCUACCGUCACCUCCGCCAUCCCCAACUUCUUCUCCACCACCCUCUACAGGAGUGGAUACAUGACACCCGAAUAUACAAUGCAUGGUCAAUUUUUUGUCAAAUCAUAUGUUUUUAGUUUUGGUGUACUACUUUUGGAGAUUUGAUGUGGUAAAAAAAAUGGUGCUUUUCGUGUCGGGGAGAACGUAGAAGAUCUUCUAAGCUAAGUAUUAAUAUCCUUUGUCCUUUUAUGUGAGAUUGUAACUCAGUGAAAUUUAUUCAAAGCAUUAAAUCCUGUAGGCGUGGAGAAAUUGGAAGGAUGGGACAGCAUUGAAACUUGUGGAUCCCAUUUUGAGGGAAGCCUCAAGCACGGAAAUGAUGAGAUGCAUCCACAUUGGUCUGCUUUGUGUCCAAGAAAAUGCAGCCCAGAGACCAAACAUGGCUUCAGUUGUUCUGAUGCUUACUAGCUACUCUGUCGCUCUCCCACUACCCGCAGAACCUGCAUUUUUCAUGCAUAGCAACACUCAGUCAGAUAUGUUGUGGCUAAAUUCAGGGGCAACAGAAUCCACUCAAUCCAGAAAUGAAGCUGCCGCAGUCUCAGAAAAUGAGGUUUCAAUAACUGAGCUGCAUCCAAGAUAGCAAGCAGGUCACAUUUGUAAGCAUUUGUGUGUCAAAAUUCAGUGUUUGUUACAAUUUCCUCUCUCCGCAGUUUGAGAUGAUUACCCUUGGACCA